rnacentral:rRNA from 1 species
UUUAAUUGAAGAGUUUGAUCAUGGCUCAGAUUGAACGCUGGCGGCAGGCCUAACACAUGCAAGUCGAACGGUAGCACAGGGGAGCUUGCUCCCCGGGUGACGAGUGGCGGACGGGUGAGUAAUGUCUGGGAAACUGCCCGAUGGAGGGGGAUAACUACUGGAAACGGUAGCUAAUACCGCAUAACGUCGCAAGACCAAAGUGGGGGACCUUCGGGCCUCACACCAUCGGAUGUGCCCAGGUGGGAUUAGCUGGUUGGUGAGGUAACGGCUCACCAAGGCGACGAUCCC